UGGGGAAUAUUGGACAAUGGGCGCAAGCCUGAUCCAGCAAUGCCGCGUGUGUGAAGAAGGCCUUCGGGUUGUAAAGCACUUUUAUCAGGAGACGAAACGCUGUCGGCUAAUACCCGGCGGAACUGACGGUACCUGAGGAAUAAGCACCGGCUAACUUCGUGCCAGCAGCCGCGGUAAUACGAAGGGUGCAAGCGUUAAUCGGAAUUACUGGGCGUAAAGCGUGCGUAGGCGGUUUCUUAAGUCUGCUGUGAAAUCCCCGGGCUCAACCUGGGAAUGGCAGUGGAUACUGGGAGGCUAGAGUGUGUCAGAGGGUGGUGGAAUUCCCGGUGUAGCGGUGAAAUGCGUAGAGAUCGGGAGGAACAUCAGUGGCGAAGGCGGCCACCUGGGACAACACUGACGCUGAGGCACGAAAGCGUGGGGAGCAAACAGGAUUAGAUACCCUGGUAGUCCACGCCCUAAACGAUGCGAACUGGAUGUUGGUCUCAACUCGGAGAUCAGUGUCGAAGCUAACGCGUUAAGUUCGCCGCCUGGGGAGCACGGUCGCAAGACUGAAACUCAAAGGAAUUGACGGGGUCAUAGCUGUUUCCUG
rnacentral:rRNA from 1 species